AAAGUUCAGGGGAAGGCUCCGUCCUCCGAAGUGAACAAACCUUCUGGUACUGUAGCAAAGAAACCCUCCGACAGUGGUCCAUUCAAGAAGGAGUUUGAGCCAGUUGGUGUGCCAGCGAAGAAAGAACGUAGUAAAGAUCGUUAUCACCCUUAUGCUGCCACUGUAACCACUCCUGUCAGUAAUCCACCUGCUCAACAGCAACAACUGCCACCUCAACAGAAG
rnacentral:lncRNA from 1 species